rnacentral:rRNA from 1 species
CGUAUCACUUAAAGCGAUUCAGCGGGUUACGAUUGACGGAGCGAAGCGACGUCAAAGCGUAUACAAAGUCGAGUCGGUUUAAGGAUACGUUCGUUGGGUAGGGGAGCGUUCUGUAAGCCCGUGAAGGUGGCCUGUGAGGGUUGCUGGAGGUAUCAGAAGUGCGAAUGCUGACAUAAGUAACGAUAAAGCGGGUGAAAAGCCCGCUCGCCGGAAGACCAAGGGUUCCUGUCCAACGUUAAUCGGGGCAGGGUGAGUCGACCCCUAAGGCGAGGCCGAAAGGCGUAGUCGAUGGGAAACGGGUUAAUAUUCCCGUACUUGGUGUUACUGCGAAGGGGGGACGGAGAAGGCUAUGUUGGCCGGGCGACGGUUGUCCCGGUUUAAGCGUGUAGGUGUGUGUUCCAGGUAAAUCCGGUUCACUUUAACACUGAGGCGUGACGACGAGGCACUACGGUGCUGAAGCAACAAAUGCCCUGCUUCCAGGAAAAGCCUCUAAGCAUCAGGUAACAUCAAAUCGUACCCCAAACCGACACAGGUGGUCAGGUAGAGAAUACCAAGGCGCUUGAGAGAACUCGGGUGAAGGAACUAGGCAAAAUGGUGCCGUAACUUCGGGAGAAGGCACGCUGACACGUAGGUGAAGUGAUUUACUCAUGGAGCUGAAGUCAGUCGAAGAUACCAGCUGGCUGCAACUGUUUAUUAAAAACACAGCACUGUGCAAACACGAAAGUGGACGUAUACGGUGUGACGCCUGCCCGGUGCCGGAAGGUUAAUUGAUGGGGUCAGCGCAAGCGAAGCUCCUGAUCGAAGCCCCGGUAAACGGCGGCCGUAACUAUAACGGUCCUAAGGUAGCGAAAUUCCUUGUCGGGUAAGUUCCGACCUGCACGAAUGGCGUAAUGAUGGCCAGGCUGUCUCCACCCGAGACUCAGUGAAAUUGAACUCGCUGUGAAGAUGCAGUGUACCCGCGGCAAGACGGAAAGACCCCGUGAACCUUUACUAUAGCUUGACACUGAACAUUGAGCCUUGAUGUGUAGGAUAGGUG